AUACGGAGGGGAUUAGCGUUGUUCGGAAUCACUGGGCGUAAAGGACGCGUAGGCGGGUUGGCAAGUCAGAUGUGAAAUCCUACAGCUUAACUGUAGAACUGCAUUUGAAACUGCUAACCUAGAGUAUGGGAGGGGGAGAUGGAAUUAGUGGUGUAGGGGUAAACUCCGUAGAUAUCACUAGGAAUACCGAAAGCGAAGGCGAUCUCCUGGAACAUAACUGACGCUAAGGCGUGAAAGCGUGGGGAGCAAACAGGAUUAGAAACCCUAGUAGUCC
rnacentral:rRNA from 1 species